rnacentral:lncRNA from 1 species
CUCAGGAGGGUUUCUGGAUGCCAACGAGACCCCAGCCACAGCCGGUCCCCAGAUUCUUGACAUCAUCACAAGAAAGAAUUCACAGGGUUGCUUCAGCGUCCUCACAACAGGAUGGCUGACUUCCCCAAGAGAGCAGCUCAAGAGAGAGCAAGGAGAAAGACACAACAUCUUUAAUGAUCUAUGCUUGGAAGCUAUAUGUUGCCACUUUUGCAAUAUCCUACAGAUCGCUUAGCUCCAUCCAACAUGGAAAGGGAUCAGACACGGGCAUCAUUGCCAGAUGAUAAUCCCUGAUGGUCAUCUUGGAUGCUGGCCACCACAGUUACAUUUGAGGUUCUACUUGAAUCAUAGUUUCUUUGCUCCUGGGAGACCCCUGCUAUUCCCAGUGAUGCUGCGAACUGGGGUUCAAAGUGGGGUGGCCUGGUGAGGCCUAAAAUCCAUGUCCCGUGGAGAACUGCCUGCAUCCCUUACAGAACCUGCCACAUAUUUCUGCAGCUUCCAAGAGGAAGGCUGGAAUUUACUGAGCUUACUGAAGCCAAUUAUCCCAAGAGUAUGUGAUCCAGAAGCAAGAUAAAGAUCAAAAGGACUCAGCUGGGAUUUGGCCUUCUCCAAGUGGAAGGAAUAAAAUCUGCAAUUGGCUCUGAAAAUAAAAACCAAACAAAAUCUCAGGCAAUCAUAGACAUGGCUCUUUGCUAUUUAUGAGCUUUUCUUUCUUUCUUUUUUUUUUUAAUUUAAACAAAUGUUAAAAGAUUUUUGUGUGGACCUCAGAUUCCAGCUUUACACUGAAACUCAACAUUAGUGUCGAAGCACUUGCAGGCCAUAUGUGCUCCAGCGAGGGUUUGGGAAUGUUGGGUGGUGUUGGUGGGCACCCAUAAUUGCCACUUGCUAUCACGUGAAUGCCUUAGGCAUGACGGAUUGCCAGUGCCCCUCUGAGCAGUCACUUGGAAGCUUUGCCAAAAUAUAAAUAUGUAACAUGAACAGAGGGUGCGUGACUUUUUAACUGCAGUAGCCACCUUUCAGACACCUGAGGCUUUGGUGUCCUCAGUUCCAAAAGCCACACAGCAGCUCUUAACCUGGAGAGAGGAAGGCACCUGGGGAAAAGUCACGUUCUUCCAAAGCCUUCACAUCAAUCUUUCAUGGAUAUUGAGUUUUUAAAUGUUGGUGAUUGUCGUGUCUUUUGCAGCCUGACAUUUGGGAGGAA